CUUCAGUCUUCACCACAGAUGCUUCAGUUCUUCUCUUCGUCUUCUAGCUUCAAUUCAGAGGUACCAAUCAAUCUCUCUAUGUAAUUAAUGAUAAAUUAUAGCAUAGAUUAGACUCCCAAUCAAAAAAAUUGGAGAACUUGACGAGCUGAUCGAAGGCUUAAGGAUUCGGCGACGUCAAGAUAAGGAAGAAGUGAGGACACCAGACGACCUCUGUGGCGCAGACCAAGACCUCAGCUUUGGAGUUAAUCUUGAAGAGACGGAACAGAUCUCUUAAUUGAUCAUCUUGACAGAUCUUCUUAUUCCAAUGCUCUCUCAAAUUGGCAGGGUCACCAAACUUCCCAACAAUCAGAUAUGGCCUCUGCUGCUACGACCUAUCAAGUUUUAAAUUUCAAGAACUCAAUUUUUGGAUUGCAGCUACUCAGAAGCAUAAGGAGAACUGUUGACUGAGUCAAUCCUAUAUCUUAAGAAUAUUUCGAGCUCCAGGUGUCAUUGGUGUGCUUGAUUUCGAUUUCUUAUUCUUUCAUUCUGGAUUUGCUUUGAUGAUCUUUCUGAUGGUUUAUUUUCUUUCAACCUUUUUUUUUUCUUUUUUUUUUCCGGCCCAUUUGCUGCUAAAUGUGGGUUUGUACAAGGACAGUAAGGAGUUGAGGUAAUUUGUUUAAGCUUUAUGGUUCCUCCAUAAUAAGAUUUUGGUAUGUUAUGUGUGUACGGUGUGGGUCUUUUUUAGUUGUUUGAAGUUGUAGUUUCGAUUUCAUGAUUUUGAUAUGUGGAUUGAGUUGGUCAACAGAUUGACUGUGGUUGUGUCUGGAUUGACAUGGUUUUGUUUUCGUGUUAGAGACCAAGUCAGCUUCAUCCUUUUGUUUCUUCCUGUUCAUGUUGGAUUUUGAUCCAUUUAUUUGUAAGGUUGUGGUUGACUAUAGUUGAUCAUGGUUUUGAGUUGUUUAUGUUUUUGGUCUUUUCCCAUACAUAUACAUACACAGAGAUAUGGAUGAGUGGUAGACACCUUAAUGUCUAAACUACGCGAACUGCAUACCUAACUUGUUAGUAAUCUGUGUGAUUUGGAGCAUAUUUUUUCCACUUCAACAAAGACUGACCCAGCCUGUUUAUAAUAUGUAAAGUCUGGAACAUUUGAAAGUGAAAGAGAUAGAAGGAGAUAUAACUGUGUCUCUUACUUGGGGUGAUGCAGGGGUUUGGGGUUCUCAUAUUGGUUUGUUAGAAUGAUAUCACUUAGAAGUAAACUUUGUUUCAUUUAGAGUACCUCACUUAGUCGGCUACUGUAAUGACAUUGUUUAGACAAAACUAAUUGAACUAAACUAUUAUUAUAUCUUACUGCCUCUCAAAGUGAAAAUAUAAUUAACAGAAUUGUCAUGAUGAUAUGAACAAUUAGCCACUUCUGUGUACAUAAAUAAUUAUCUUUUUGAUAUAAAAACUUGACUUAGAAGUGAGUAACUCACUCGACACAUGAAUGGUAACCGAGCUGGCACUAUUGCAAUGCUAAUGAGUAAUGACUAAUGAGUCUUCCUAUCUACUAUCUAAAGUGAAUUGCAGGCUUAUAUUUGUAAGCCUUUCAAACUCUCACUACAUAUAUGGGAAACAAAAUGCCUAUAUUAGGAUUGAUUUCAUUAAAUCAUAUCAAAAUGAGGUUGAAUACAAACCGACUCCUGAAUAAGUCGGCUAUAUUGAAUGAUGGGUAUGCCUUCCCUUCAACAGUGGAAGAGAUAUUACUUAUAUUAGGUAUGCUCAUUUUGUUGGGCUACUAGAAAGUAUAUUUUGUUCUAAUUGUCCGAGUGGGUUUGAUAAAUACUUGGUGUCCUUGGCUGCAUUGGGAUUCUGUUUUGGUUGACAAAAUUUACCUUUUUUGUAAAAUUUGGGUGGGAUAACUCCUCUCCCCACAUGAUAUCAUUCCUGAAUAGAUAGAAUCUACAAAUUGGUGUCUUAUUUAUCUUCAUUGUUCUAUAAUCUUCUAUCCUGCUUGACUUCAGCUAUAAUCUGUGGAUUUGGUUGUAGUUGGAUAUAGAUAUCUUCUGUUGAAGCUGGUUGCUGUUGCAGAGCAUAUUUGCUGUUGAUUGUCAAACACCGCUGCGGAGCGCGGCCUCACCACUAGUCUCUAAUAUUUGGUGAGUUUUGGGAGUUGUGCUAAACUGUUCACAAACUACAGAAUGCCCUGCAAUUCUUUGUGGUAUCAAAUUAAACGGGGACCUACACGCGUCAUAAUUUCUUCCCUACCCUUGAUCUCCACUGAUUGAGCAAAUCCAUAGUUCCCAGUCAUGUGUUUCAUUGGAAAUCUAUAAAGAUUGCUCGGGAUCUAUACGGCGUCGUCAAACAACAUGGACCUAUCACCAUUCCCAAUAAAUGGAGAGAAGGCCAAGGAAAGGAAAAAGAGAGAAGGGGAUGUUGAAGAAGGAUUCUGAGACCCUCAUGCAUCCGGAUCAAGCAUUGACAACAGAUGACUCAACAUUUGAAGAACUUAUGUGAAGUCAUUUGUUCGGAAAUAACUUUAGGUAAAUGCUCAAGAUCAUUGGUAUUCUCUAUCAGAUGCAGGUCACCAAUUACUAUGCUUUUCCAGAGAAGAAGAUGUAGUACAGCGUUGAGUUCUCAACAAGCACGUAUUCUACAUUGUAUUUUGCUUUAUGUCACGCGAGUAAUGAGAUCUAUACAAGGUACUCUUUGAGUCCAAUUUCUAGCAAUUUUAGGAGCUAUAUAUAUAUAUUAUAAUGUUGGCUAACACUCCACAAUCUAAAUGUUGAUGCAUGUUGUAUCAAUAUUGACUUAUAUAGUGGGAAAUUGAUUCAUGUAAU